rnacentral:lncRNA from 1 species
UUUUCACUCAAGCCUGGAGUAUUGCUCUGCAUUUCCUGUGCUGUCCUGCACCUCCCGUCCUCCUUUUCCAGUGUCUUUCCCAUAGCUACUAUGGGCCUGGAUCCAUAGGAGAAGGAAGUCCUUUGGCUCAUUGCAGCACUAAGCAUCACAGCUCUGCUUCUAAUCUUGGAAUUUAAGAGUUCUGUUGACCUGGAUUUUCAUUGCU